UGGGGAAUAUUGCACAAUGGGCGAAAGCCUGAUGCAGCGACGCCGCGUGAGGGAUGACGGCCUUCGGGUUGUAAACCUCUUUCAGCAGGGACGAAGCGCAAGUGACGGUACCUGCAGAAGAAGCACCGGCUAACUACGUGCCAGCAGCCGCGGUAAUACGUAGGGUGCAAGCGUUGUCCGGAAUUACUGGGCGUAAAGAGUUCGUAGGCGGUUUGUCGCGUCGUUUGUGAAAACCAGCAGCUCAACUGCUGGCUUGCAGGCGAUACGGGGAAACUUGAGUACUGCAUGGGAGACUGGAAUUCCUGGGGUAGCGGUGAAAUGCGCAGAUAUCAGGAGGAACACCGGUGGCGAAGGCGGGUCUCUGGGCAGUAACUGACGCUGAGGAACGAAAGCGUGGGUAGCGAACAGG
rnacentral:rRNA from 1 species